AAUCAAAACAAACCUUUACCCCCGCCCGGCACACCGACUUUUUUUAAAAAUUAAAAAAGCUUGUUUUGUACCAUCAACCCCGUUUAAAGCGGUUGGUAAUUUCCAGGCUGAGGAGAAUAAAAGGCGAAGCCGGAACGCGGCUCUAAGCAAAAAUAAGAAAGAGAAACACCAAGCGGCGGGUAAAGCCUUAGGCUGAAAUGGGGCCGGGACAGCCGGAAGGAGGACGCCUUUUUACUGGAUCUGUCCGAGGCCGCCCUGGCCGCCUUAUAUUUUGAUUCGGCAGGGGAGCAACCCGGCGCUUUAUCUGCUAUUCCUGACCAAGAGGCCGUGCGA